AAGUCGUAACAAGGUUUCCGUAGGUGAACCUGCGGAAGGAUCAUUACCGAGUUUUCUGGUUUACAGAUUUCUCCCACCCUUGUGUAUUUUGAUGCUGAUAAGCAGCUUCGGCGGGCCGUUCUUGGGGUUUGUCAAUUGUCCUGCAAUUGAUAGAGACCAAGAACAUCGGCCUUUAAAGCGGAUCUGUGUCCGCCGAAGGAAACCCAAUUCUUGAUAAUUGUAAAGUCUGAAAAAAACUUGAUAAUAAAAUCAAAACUUUCAACAACGGAUCUCUUGGUUCUG
rnacentral:misc_RNA from 1 species